UACGUAGGGUCCAAGCGUUAAUCGGAAUUACUGGGCGUAAAGCGUGCGCAGGCGGUUUUAUAAGCCAGAUGUGAAAUCCCCGGGCUUAACCUGGGAAUGGCAUUUGGGACUGUAAGGCUAGAGUACAGCAGAGGAGACUAGAAUUCCUGGUGUAGCAGUGAAAUGCGUAGAUAUCAGGAGGAAUACCGAUGGCGAAGGCAGGUCUCUGGGUCGAUACUGACGCUCAUGCACGAAAGCGUGGGGAGCAAACAGG
rnacentral:rRNA from 1 species